rnacentral:rRNA from 1 species
UACGAAGGGGGCUAGCGUUGUUCGGAUUUUACUGGGCGUAAAGCGCACGUAGGCGGAUCGUUAAGUCAGGGGUGAAAUCCUGGAGCUCAACUCCAGAACUGCCUUUGAUACUGGCGAUCUUGAGUCCGGAAGAGGUGAGUGGAACUCCUAGUGUAGAGGUGGAAUUCGUAGAUAUUAGGAAGAACACCAGUGGCGAAGGCGGCUCACUGGUCCGGUACUGACGCUGAGGUGCGAAAGCGUGGGGAGCAACAGG